UGGGGAAUAUUGCACAAUGGGGGAAACCCUGAUGCAGCAACGCCGCGUGAGUGAUGACGGCCUUCGGGUUGUAAAGCUCUGUCUUCAGGGACGAUAAUGACGGUACCUGAGGAGGAAGCCACGGCUAACUACGCGCCAGCAGCCGCGGUAAUACGUAGGUGGCAAGCGUUGUCCGGAUUUACUGGGCGUAAAGGGAGCGUAGGCGGACUUUUAAGUGAGAUGUGAAAUACCCGGGCUCAACCUGGGUGCUGCAUUUCAAACUGGAAGUCUAGAGUGCAGGAGAGGAGAGUGGAAUUCCUAGUGUAGCGGUGAAAUGCGUAGAGAUUAGGAAGAACACCAGUGGCGAAGGCGACUCUCUGGACUGUAACUGACGCUGAGGCUCGAAAGCGUGGGGAGCAAACA
rnacentral:rRNA from 1 species